rnacentral:rRNA from 1 species
CAGCCGCCGCGGUAAUACGGAGGGGGCUAGCGUUGUUCGGAAUUACUGGGCGUAAAGCGCACGUAGGCGGCUUUGUAAGUUAGAGGUGAAAGCCCGGAGCUCAACUCCGGAAUUGCCUUUAAGACUGCAGAGCCAGCAGGUGAGAGAGGUGAGUGAAAUUCCGAGUGUAGAGGUGAAAUUCGUAGAUAUUCGGAAGAACACCAGUGGCGAAGGCGGCUCACUGGCUCAUACUGGACGCUGAGGUGCGAAAGCGUGGGGAGCAAACAGGAUUAGAUACCCGGGUAGUCCCUGUCUCUUAUAC